rnacentral:lncRNA from 1 species
ACAACACUUCAACACCACUGCAAAUUAAUUUCUUCAUUUUGGCUAUAAUAAUGAUCCAAUCGGACCCAAUUUGGUGAUCUGCUAGAUAUGGCCCAUUCCCUACGGAAUUGCGUUUUUAAUUUUCUUUUAUCUUCAAAAUUGUGGAUUUGGGAGGUUUUCGCCCUUUUGCGGGGGCGGAAGGGGCGUGGCUCAUUUUUUAAAAACACUUGUAACAGUGAUUCACAAGUCUGGAUGCACCAUUUGGUGACUCUAGUUUUUAUGGUAUCUGAGAUCCAGGCGCUCAACAAGACGGACGGACAGAUGGACGGACGGACAGACAGACAUGGCUCAAUCGACUCGGCUAUUGAUGCUGAUCAAAAAUAUAUAUACUUUAUGGCGUCGGAAACGUUUCCUUCAGUGUGUUACAUACUUUGUGCACAAAUAUCGCAGCAGAGUGUGCCCUCAAUAAAUGAGAUAUACAUAUGAUUACGGUUCAGAAAAUGUGAUACAAUUAAAAUU